rnacentral:lncRNA from 12 species
GCGUCUCUGCCCACCUUCAGGAAAACCGCCGCAGCUGCCACGGCCUCCCUCCGGGCACCCAGGAAUCGCCUGCCCGCCUCCGCCAGGCUCGGGGACUCUGACGCCCCCUCGUCCUCGGGUGGGAAACACUAUGCAAUACGGGCCCCCCUGCUCGGCGCACUGGCUUCUGCCAGCCGGAGGGGGAGGGGGGGGCCCGCCAGGGCAGCGUGCCUGGGGUCAGGCCAGGGCCUGGAAAGCCCUCUGGCUUCUAGUUGUUCGUCCUGUUUUGUUAAUUUUUUAAAGACAUCAGUUGACUUCCCUUCCCUGUUCUUGAAUACUUGAAUGUUGGGGGGCCUCGUGGGUCGGGGGGCCCAGACGCCGUUUCUGCGGCAGUCUCGCGGCUGGUGGGGACUGGAACCCCCGCCUGUCCCCCCCGCCCGCCUGGAUCUGUGGACUGGCCUUUCCAAAGACCCCGGGGGGUGGGGAGGCCGCCCCCACCCCCUGCUUCUUGCCCAUCGGUGAUUCUUCUAUGUUUUGCAACUGGGGCUUCUGCCUUUUUGUAAAAAAGAAACCAAUGGACCCCCGCCCGCCCCUGGGGGAUGGAGCCGGAAACGGUGGGCGGUGGGCGCAGCCGGAAACCCCACAGGGAGCUGGAGAGGGGACCUCAGGGUUCCUUCUUACAGGGGAGCGAGCCUCCCCACCCCCCCCACCCCCCCACCCCCCGCGCCUGUAACCUCAGGACAUGUACUCGACUGUGUGCCUAUUGGUGAAGUAGGAUGAGGGAGGUGGAUGUGGGGACCCCAGGGAAAGGGGGGGCGGGUGUGGAGUGGCUGGGAGCGAGCACUCUGCCCAUGAGGUCAGCAGGCAUAUUUGGUGAGAUUUUCUGGGAGCAGGAGGGGGAUACAGGCCCCAGCAGGGGAUGAUGGGGAUCCAUACCCAGAGCAGGGUGGGGGGCAGGGGCUGGAGACCGGAGGAGCUGGGCCCGCAGGAGCCAGGGGCACGAGCGCCAGAGGGACAGCAUCCGCCCUGAAGGGGAGAGCGGCCGCAGGUGGAGCCCGCAGGCGCCUGGGGGGCGGUAGGAGCAGCAGCAGGGGGGGUUCAAGCUCCCCUGAGGGGGGCGGCGGCAGUGGCCCCCGACCCAGGCUCCAGCAUCCUGGGGUGGCCGGCAGUGGCAAGGACACCUGGAGGGCGGAGACCCCUGGCCACGAGCAGGCCUCGGCCCUGUGUCCAGGUCUGUGGCAGGCGGGACCCAGCGGUGG